UUUCCGUAGGUGAACCUGCGGAAGGAUCAUUAUUGUAUAACCGAGGUGCGAGGGCUGUUGCUGACCCGAAAGGUCGUGCACGCCCGUGUGCCCUCACACACAUCCAUCUCACCCCUAUGUGCACCACCGCGUGGGUCCCCCUUUGGCUUGUUCGGAGGGGGGCUUACGUUUUCACACAAACUUUGUAUGCAGUGUAGAAUGUAUUUUUUGUUUUUGCGAUCACGCAAUCAAUACAACUUUCAACAACGGAUCUCUUGGCUCUC
rnacentral:misc_RNA from 1 species